rnacentral:rRNA from 1 species
UACGUAGGUGGCGAGCGUUGUCCGGAUUUAUUGGGCGUAAAGGGCGCGUAGGCGGUCACGCACGUCCGUUGUGAAAUCGCUCGGCUCAACUGGGCGGGGUCAGCGGAUACGGCGUGGCUGGAGCAAGCUAGGGGGCAAUGGAAUUCCCGGUGUAGUGGUGGAAUGCGUAGAUAUCGGGAGGAACACCAGUGGCGAAGGCGGUUGCCUGGAGCUUUGCUGACGCUGAUGCGCGAAAGCGUGGGGAGCGAUCCGG